rnacentral:rRNA from 1 species
AAUACGGGAGUGGCAAGCGUUAUCCGGAAUUAUUGGGCGUAAAGCGUCCGCAGGCGGCCCUUCAAGUCUGCUGUUAAAAAGUGGAGCUUAACUCCAUCAUGGCAGUGGAAACUGUUGGGCUUGAGUGUGGUAGGGGCAGAGGGAAUUCCCGGUGUAGCGGUGAAAUGCGUAGAUAUCGGGAAGAACACCAGUGGCGAAGGCGCUCUGCUGGGCCAUCACUGACGCUCAUGGACGAAAGCCAGGGGAGCGAAAGGGAUUAGAUACCCCUGUAGUCCUGGCCGUAAACGAUGAACACUAGGUGUCGGGGGAAUCGACCCCCUCGGUGUCGUAGCCAACGCGUUAAGUGUUCCGCCUGGGGAGUACGCACGCAAGUGUGAAACUCAAAGGAAUUGACGGGGGCCCGCACAAGCGGUGGAGUAUGUGGUUUAAUUCGAUGCAACGCGAAGAACCUUACCAGGGUUUGACAUCCUGCGAAUCUCUUGGAAACAGGAGAGUGCCUUCGGGAACGCAGUGACAGGUGGUGCAUGGCUGUCGUCAGCUCGUGUCGUGAGAUGUUGGGUUAAGUCCCGCAACGAGCGCAACCCACGUCUUUAGUUGCCAGCAUUUAGUUGGGCACUCUAGAGAGACUGCCGGUGAUAAACCGGAGGAAGGUGUGGAUGACGUCAAGUCAUCAUGCCCCUUACAUCCUGGGCUACACACGUACUACAAUGCUACGGACAAAGGGCAGCAAGUUCGCGAGGACAAGCAAAUCCCAUAAACCGUGGCUCAGUUCAGAUCGUAGGCUGCAACUCGCCUACGUGAAGGCGGAAUCGCUAGUAAUCGCAGGUCAGCAUACUGCGGUGAAUACGUUCCCGGGCCUUGUACACACCGCCUGUCACACCAUGGAAGUUGGCCACGCCCGAAGCCGUUACUCCAACCCUUGUGGAGGAGGACGUCGAAGGUGGGGCUGAU